AUGCAAUACGAAAUUUAUGCCAUAUUUCAAGGAUUGUAUGGAGCAAUAGAUGGAACACAUAUUCCAAUUAGCAUAUCUCCAAAAGACCAAGAUCCAUAUGGUAAUAGAAAGGGAACAUUGUCACAAAAUGUUAUGGUUGCAUGUGAUUUUGAUAAUCGUUUCGUCCAUGUCAGCAGCGGAUGGGAAGGUUCCGCUUCUGACGCUCGUGCUCUACAAGAUGCUGUUGAAAAUAAUUUCUAUAUCCCCGAAGGAAAGUUUUAUUUGGUGGAUGCUGGUUAUGCGAAUACACCUAAUUUCAUUGCACCUUAUAGCCUUGUGCGUACGAGUGUAUCCAGACAGACAAAUUGA
rnacentral:rRNA from 1 species